UACGUAGGGGGCAAGCGUUGUCCGGAUUUAUUGGGCGUAAAGAGCUCGUAGGCGGUUUGGUAAGUCUGGUGUGAAAUCUCCACGCUCAACGUGGAGGGGCCACCCGAUACUGCCAUGACUGGAGUCCGGUAGAGGAGUGUGGAAUUCCCGGUGUAGCGGUGAAAUGCGCAGAUAUCGGGAGGAACACCGGUGGCGAAGGCGGGUCUCUGGGCAGUAACUGACGCUGAGGAGCGAAAGCGUGGGGAGCGAACAGG
rnacentral:rRNA from 1 species